rnacentral:tRNA from 1 species
UGGCUCAGUCGGUAGAGCAUGAGACUCUUGAGCUCAGGGUUGUGAGUUCGAGCCCCAU